CUGCACAUAGAAAAACAUAGCAUUUCUGAAGAACAUUCUUAGAAUUUAUAUUCUACACAAUAGAACAGUCUUUAUUUCAGACUUGACAUGAAGAAAAAGGACAGAGUGGGAAGAAGAUUUCACGCUGAAUUGCAUCUGGAGAAAUUUUCCCCCAAGUCUGAAGAGAUAUUACAAGAAAACAACAACAAAACAAAAAGCAACCAAACACCAAGAAGACAAUUACAUUUGUUUCUUUUUUCUUUCUAAAUUUCUAUUUUUAUUGUCAGGCAAAUGUAUUGUCAGCAAAUACCCAAUAGAAACUACUGAAAUUGCGUAAAAAACAAGUCACAGGACUGUGAUCACUGCAGUACAGUUUCCAGGCAAAGAC
ensembl:lncRNA